GGGACCAGCCUGCUGCAUACUGUGAUGUCGCAAAAAAGCCUUUGUUGACUGGACCUAAGGGUGCCCCUGCAGUCCAGAGCUUCCCCUACAGUGAGAGCUAAGUCCACAGCUAACUCCAGUUCUGCUGAGUCAGCAGUUGAGACACAUCUGCGGUUGGGAAGCAGGUGAAACAGAAGAGAAGCAGUGGAAAGACCAGCUUUCAGGAGUCCUCACAGUGAGCCAGGAGCCCUCCAUGCCCACUUCUUUUUACUCCUCUUAGCAGUCCUGGGAGGAAGAUAGGAUUUACCCGCAUCUUAUCAACUGAGGAGCUGGGCCCAGAGGUCCUGGUGCAGGGAGGAAAUCUGGGUCCACCUGUUCCCUACCAUCACUUCACUCUGGGGAUCAAGUGUGUGGUGCCUUCUCUGGUUUCAUGACCCCCAGUUUGCCGGAGGGCAGAAAAUGCCCUGCAGUCAUAAAGCUCCAGGAACGGACAGCCAGAACCCCAGGUAGGAAGAGGCACCUGAGCCGGGAAGGAGGGGGUGGGGAGGGGAACAGGGGAUGGCAGCCCCUGAUCCACCCCAGCUGUUCAAACAUCCAGGCCCCUUCCCUCUUCCUUCCCAAGUCCCCGGUCAGCACUCAGCCCUGGAUCGCAGCUGCCCUGGGUCCCCGCAGUAAAACACCUCGCAGAGGUUUCCUCCAGCAGACAGGCAGGAAGGCCCCCAGCUCGCCCAGGAGCCCCCAGGACUGGGUGGGGCUGGGAUCCGAGUGGAUGGCCCUGCUGAGCCCAGGGAGGAGCACAGGAAGGAGCGUGGGAGGAGGUGAGAGGCCACCGUGCAGGCCGCAGCCCACACCAGCCCCUGGCACUCUCCCACCUCCAGCCACUGUCCACACCGGUGUUUCCUAUCUCUUCUUCGCGGCUCUCAGUUCUGCUCAUUCCCAGGCCGCCGGUAAAGUGCUUCCAGAUGGAAAAUGUCUCUCUCCAGCCUCUGGCCCCAGUGGUGCCUUGUCUCCUGCGGCCUGA
rnacentral:lncRNA from 1 species